AUGCAAGUCGAGCGGGGGAAGGUAGCUUGCUACUGGACCUAGCGGCGGACGGGUGAGUAAUGCUUAGGAAUCUGCCUAUUAGUGGGGGACAACAUCUCGAAAGGGAUGCUAAUACCGCAUACGUCCUACGGGAGAAAGCAGGGGAUCUUCGGACCUUGCGCUAAUAGAUGAGCCUAAGUCGGAUUAGCUAGUUGGUGGGGUAAAGGCCUACCAAGGCGACGAUCUGUAGCGGGUCUGAGAGGAUGAUCCGCCACACUGGGACUGAGACACGGCCCAGACUCCUACGGGAGGCAGCAGUGGGGAAUAUUGGACAAUGGG
rnacentral:rRNA from 1 species